CCAAUAGCGUAUAUUAAAGUUGUUGCAGUUAAAAAGCUCGUAGUUGAAUUUCGGGACCAAUAUGUCGGUCGUGCUUCGGUACGUACUUGCAUUGUUGGUUUCUCCCUUCUGAAGAACCAUGAUGUCAUUAAUUUGGUGUCUUGGGGAAUCAGGACUGUUACUUUGAAAAAAUUAGAGUGUUUAAAGCAGGCUCACGCUUGAAUACAUUAGCAUGGAAUAAUGAAAUAGGACGUUUGAUUCUAUUUUGUUGGUUUCUAGGAUCGACGUAAUGAUUAAUAGGGAUAGUUGGGGGCAUUAGUAUUCAAUUGUCAGAGGUGAAAUUCUUGGAUUUAUUGAAGACUAACUUCUGCGAAAGCAUUUGCCAAGGAUGUUUUCAUUAAUCAAGAACGAAAGUUAGGGGAUCGAAGACGAUCAGAUACCGUCGUAGUCUUAACCAUAAACUAUGCCGACUAGGGAUCGGAUGAUGUUAAUUUUUUAAUGACUCAUUCGGCGCCUUACG
rnacentral:rRNA from 1 species